GCAGGAGGUUGUUAGGCUAUUUUACUCUACUUCAACUGCAUGAGGGAACUGCAGCUGCAACAAGAACAUAUCCAUCAUGAAGAAGGAAUAGGCAGUUUGAAGUGUCUGCUUCCUCAAUGCAAGUCUAAUCGGACAUAUUGACUGCUGAUGUUCAGAACACACCUCCCUUCUUGGAAGCCGGUGGGCGCCAUCCCAACUUCUCCUUUUGCGUUUGACCUCCAGAAACAAACCAGGGUCACUGUCCUUGGUCCUCUGGGGCUGUUCAGACUUUUGCCAAGUCCUCACUCAGAAGCUUCCAUGGCUGCAAUGUGAAAUCCUCCCAGCUGCCACUGCGGUUUGGUCAACAAAGCCACAUAUUCUAAAGGGCAAAGAGUUUUAGAAGCUGAGAAGGCCUUGAUGUAUGUUUCAGUUUACAUGAACACAUGGCCACAUUAACACAACAGAUAUCCAUGCUGGUAUUUGAACAGCACUCU